GCAAUGGUAAUUCAGUGGUAGAAUUCUGACCUUCCAUGUGGGAGACCAGGGUUUGAUUCCUGGCCAAUGCA
rnacentral:tRNA from 1 species